UCGGCGCAGUAAUAUUAAAACUUCUGAAACUCCCCCUCUCCCUCUCCCUGUCCCUGUCCGCCUGCGCUAUUGGUAGUAGUUUGGGGGAGUUCUCAGGAGUGAUGACAUUACUGCGCAGAGGUCGAAGUGCUGCGAGGUGCUCUUCUGCCAUACAUUAUAGUUAUCAUUUUUUAUCCGCUGAGAAAAUCGCCACAUUUUAUUUUGUGCCAUCAUACUUACUCGUUUAACUACUCAUGUAACCGUCUUUAAAUAGGGGAAACAUGGAAGUGUUUGGUGGCUUCUAAAUUCAUCCCUUUUUGGAUCCUAAGGAAUGAAUGGUGCUAAGCUAAACGCUAACAUGGUGGCGCUGUGCGCUACAGCGAUUAAGUGCACGCACUGAGACGGGAGAGUCGGUUAUCCACAAAAAUGACCGAGAACAACCAAGAAGAGCAGCGGGAGCGAUUCAAAGGUGGUGUCAGCAGGAAACGAAAGCUUUCUGAUCCUGAAUGCUCAGUUUCAUGUAAAAGUGAGUUUACCUUGUUGUUACUUGUAGACAGUCCUACUUGGAAAAUAUUGUGGAAAAAGUCCCAUGUUGACAGUACUGAUAGUGGG
ensembl:lncRNA